rnacentral:rRNA from 1 species
AGCUCGUGUCGUGAGAUGUUGGGUUAAGUCCCGCAACGAGCGCAACCCUCGCCCUUAGUUGCCAGCAUUUAGUUGGGCGACUCUAAGGGGACUGCCGGUGAUAAGCCGAGAGGAAGGUGGGGAGUGACGUCGAAGUCCUCAUGGCCCUUACGGGCUGGGCUACACACGUGCUACAAUGGUGGUGACAGUGGGCAGCGAGCACGCGAGUGUGAGCUAAUCUCCAAAAAGACCAUCUCAGUUCGGAUUGCACUCUGCAACUCGAGUGCAUGAAGUUGGAAUCGCUAGUAAUCGCGGAUCAGCAUGCCGCGGUGAAUACGUUCCCGGGCCUU